GGGUGCUUAGCUCAGCGGUAGAGCACCUCGCUUACAACGAGGUGGUCACAGGUUCGAUCCCUGUAGCACCCACCA
rnacentral:tRNA from 2 species